GAGGGGACACUCUCCAAAAGACAUGUGAAAACCCUUAAGAAAGCUUACAGCCAAGUCGAGCCAAUCUGUCCAGCACUUCUUCAGAGCUUGGACGACAGAGAUCUGUGUUGCUGCACUGGGACGCUGACAGAAAAGACAAUUUUCAGGCUUACAAAUGAAGCGGAUCAACUCAUGUCGAAAACUGGACACGACAGCUGAUGACACACACAGAAAAUAAAGUGCAGACAGGACAACUCAGUUUCCCAUGCCAUCGCAAUGCAACCCUGCAGAGCAAACUAAAAAUGCUUACCUAAUCACCCAUCUUUUAUGUUGUUAUGCAUCAUGACUGGUGACAACACGGUUCCAGUCACCAACGGAGCAAAAUCUAAUUAUUUAGCAGGUGUCGUCCCAUUAUUUCCUGAAUCCUGACGUGAUCAAAUAAUAGUAGCUGCAUCCAAACAGGACAGAUACCUCCAGAGGCUGCCAAUAUAUUUGAUUUCACACUCACUGCCCACCUGCAAACUUGACGUGGAACUUGUUCUCUGGCUUGAGAAUCUGGACGUACAGGGGGCAAUUUGGAGCAAAGUCUUUCACUGCCCAGGCUCGGAGGAUGGUCUGAUGAUCCUGAGAAAAUUGGAGAUGGCGGUGAGAGACAUGGAUGGAGUGAAAACACGGGAGAGACAGAGGAAAAGUGCGACAGAGAGAGAAAGAGAGUGACUUACUUGGCCCUCAUCAGGUCUUGGUCUUUGAGGGCAGAACCCUGCAGAUAGAUGACUCUUUGGGCCCACAGAGGGACAUGAAGGACCCUCCUAACCUGGACAUCCAUCUCUGCUGGACAAAGGAUCACCACAUAAUGCUGCUCAGGCUCCCGAGAAGGAUUACAGACAACAAAUGCACACAAACACAAGACCCCCCAACACCCUCUUGUCCUACUUAAAACCAUUUUGGAAGACCUGAAGUCGGGGGUGAGCGAAGAACUCAUUAAGGAAGUCCAUGAGGAGGUCGAUCUUGAGACAGCUGACGCACAGCACCACGUGUUUCUCCGUCUGUGCCCUGUAGCGGCUGUAGUUUCCCCCGGACUUCUGCCGCUCCAUCCACAGAAAGGCCAGCUGCUCGAACUACAUUCAGUACGACAUCCAUCACAUUCAACAGAUGGAAACUGGAUUAGGUUAGCUGCAAUACAGGGAGGAACCAGGUGGUGCAUAAAAAGAAAACAAUGCCUUGUACUGUA